CUCAUCAAUGUCAAGUGCUACAAGGAAACAGAGACAGAAGGUGUCAAUUAGGAAAACUAGCAUCCAGAUACAUAAAGUCUCUAAUCAUGUUUCCUAAUGUGGACCCACCACAAGCAGGAACAAAAGCUGGAUCUUCAGAGCUAACAUUUGCAAAACUGCUUUUUUGCAUCCUUAAUGCCAAGAAAUACACACAUGGAAGCUGAUCAUGACGGGGCUAUAUGUGACAAAGAAAAUGCCCAGUUGGAUACAAGUGUCUUCAUUCAAGCUGUGGCGGUCCUCCCUGGUUCGGCUAGCACAGGCGUGUGUCUGCUAUCCACCAGAGCUCAAACACAUGUUUGAACAUAUUUUAGAAGGUGCAAACUCUAAAAAACUAAAACCCAUGGGAGCCAGCAGGCUUUAGUGUUAAGUUUAAGAUAAAAAUAGAGGUAACUAAAUCAGUUUUCUUGGAAUUUAAAAAAACAAAACAUGAUUAGUUUUGCAGGAGAUGGUCUGUAUCUCAUUGUACAACUGUACAGUGACAAUAAAGGCAUUCUAUCUAUCUAUCUAU